UACGAAAGGAGCAGGUGUUAUUCAGAUUAACUGGGCGUAAAGGGUGCGUAGGUGGUUUGUUAUGUGUACUAUAAAAUUAUAAAGCAUAACUUUAUACUGUAGUGUAGACAACUAAACUAGAGUUAGGUAGAGGGUAGUAGAAUUUCUAGUGUAAAGGUGAAAUUCGUAGAUAUUCGGAAGAACACCAGUGGCGAAGGCGACUUACUGGACACAUAUUGACGCUGAGGUGCGAAAGCGUGGGGAGCAAACAGG
rnacentral:rRNA from 1 species